AUUCCAAACGCCUGGCGCCUGGUCGAGCAUUAACCCGCCCUCGUGGGCCCUGGCUAGCUGCUCGAGCCCCAGCUGCCCUGUGCUUUGCAGCCGCUCAGGAGUCCUGCCUGCGGGCAUUUUCCUUUCCAACCUUCGCUUAAUGCACAGGUCCAGAUCCAAAAUGGGUUUUGAAAAGCGGUUCACCUGCCAAGGGUCUGUCUUCCGGUGUGAACUCCAUGCAGCGGCACGCAGCCUGUCUCGUUCCCGAGGGCGCCCCGCCCCACAAGCCUCCCACCUAGAGUGGGUCUUACAGCUUAACUAACCUUGAAUGUAUUCUUAUCUUUUUCCAGUGUCCAUAAAUAAAGUUCUACUGGAACAAGGCCACACUAAUUAAUUUCCAUAUUGCCUGUGGCUGCUUUCCUAUUACAACAGGCAGAGAACUCUGUGCUACAAAGCCUAAAAGAUUUACAAGCUGGGGCACUCCCUGGCCGUCCAAAGGUUAGGCCUUGGCUCUUUCUCUGCCAAGGGCUCAGGUGCAGAAACUAAGAUCCCAUGAGCUGUGCCACGAGGCCCC
rnacentral:lncRNA from 1 species